rnacentral:rRNA from 1 species
GACGAACGCUGGCGGCGCGCCUAACACAUGCAAGUCGAACGGGGCUUAUAUUUCAGAAGUUUUCGGAUGGACGAGAGAUAAGCUUAGUGGCGGACGGGUGAGUAACACGUGAGCAACCUGCCUUUCAGAGGGGGAUAACAGUUGGAAACGACUGCUAAUACCGCAUAACGCUGCGAUGGGGCAUCCCGAUGCAGCCAAAGGAGCAAUCCGCUGAAAGAUGGGCUCGCGGCCGAGUAGCUAGUUGGUGGGGCAACGGCCCACCAAGGCGACGAUCGGUAGCCGGACUGAGAGGUUGAUCGGCCACAUUGGGACUGAGACACGGCCCAG